rnacentral:rRNA from 1 species
GAUGAACGCUGGCGGCGUGCCUAACACAUGCAAGUCGAGCGGACAGACGAUGAUCUUGCUCGUCUGACGUUAGCGGCGGGCGGGUGAUUAACACGUGUAUACCCUACCUAUAAGACUGAUAUAACUACGGGAAACCGGAUCUAAUACCGGAUAAGAUAUUGAACCGCGGGGGUCGUUGGAGAAAGACGGUUUUGCUGUCACUAAUAGCGGGAUCCGGGCUGGAUUAGCUAGUUGGUAAGGUCACGGCUUACCAAGGCAACGAUGCGUAGCCGAACUGAGAGGGUGAUCGGCCACACUGGAACUGAGACACGGUCCAGACUCCUACGGGAGGCAGCAGUAGGGAAUAUUCGGCAAUGGGCGAAAGCCUGACGCAGCAACGCCGCGUGAGUGAUGAAGGUCUUCGGAUCGUAAAGCUCUGUUAUUAGGGAAGAACAACUGUGUAAGUAAACAUGCCCGUCUUGACGGUACCAAAUCAGAAAGCAACGGCUAACUACGUG